UUCACUCUCUCUCACACAGUCUUCUUCGGUGCUCUUCUUCAACAUUUGAUGUUCUUCGUCUCGCAAAGUCGCAAUAAAUCUCUCAAUUUCGUCUCGCAAAGUGCAAUUUUGUUGCUUUUCUUCAACAUUUGCUCUUCUUCUUCUCUCAAAGUCGCGCAAUUUGCUGUUCUUCUUCAACAUCAGAGGAGGAGAUUGACUACAAAUGCUGUGAAACACUGAAACCUCAACAAUGUUUUUUUGAGUUGUGGACUUGUGUUUGUAUAAGAUACAUUAUUGUUGUUUUAUUUUGUAAAACUUUGCUAAAUUGUUUUGUAAUAUUGCCAAGUAUGAAUUUGGUUACCUAGAACUUGGUAGAAGUAUGUAAUAUUGCCAAGUAUAAACUUGGUUAGCUAAUAUUUUGACGAAAUUUCAAGGCCCAAA